AUUUCGGUGCGGAUAAAUGGCUUAAGCAUGUGCGACAAUAUGUUUUAUUAAAGUGUUUGAUUAAAUUAAUUAAUUAUGUGGAAUUAUAGUGAUAAACUAAAAUAAAAUUGAAAAGUGUGCGCCACGCUCAAGUGUAAAUAUGUGAACGGCUCGACGACUCAUGCUUUGCAAAUAAAAAACUCAAUGUUUGAUGAACGCGCCGCCGCAACUGGUGAAAAAAAGUGAAUAAGACUAUAAGUAAAAGAUGAAAUACAAAUAGCUGAAUGUAUAUAAUUUAAAAAGCAGACAGUUAUCAAGGCGCAUCAUUUCAUUACAAUAUCUGGAGAGCCGAAAACACAUUUUGAGCGCCCAAAAAUGUGGUGCGCAACUUAUAAAGUAACUUCUGUUCGCAACACACACAUACAUACACAUACAAAAAUAUAUGCCGCGAUGAGACCAAGGAUACUCUGGCAUAAAAUCCCUAAACGCUAACAUGGACCAAAACAUCUGUUAGCUGAUCAAGGCUCAUUUGAAUAUAAAAGCUAGUUAUGAAAACAAAAUGGGGACAGCAAGAAUGUGUAGGGAUCCCACCUCCCAUCUACGUUUAAUUUAACAUUAAUGAACACGUCGCGGAGUUCGCAAUGCUCUUUAACAAAUACGACCAGUUCACCAAGGAAUAUUUCAUCUCUCAAUUUGCAUCCAUUUAAAAGCUCAACUUACAAUCAAGGAGUAGCGCUGAGCAGACGUCUUGGGCUGGUAUGGAAAGCCUGCAUCCGUGACUGCAAUAAUGAUGAACAAAAUUGUGCCAGCCAGAAAGCACAAGACAAUCGUUCUCGUCUUCCGGAAGAACAUGAUGAGUGGCACCUGAAUGAAAGUCAAAUUUUGUUUCUCUUCUGCUUCCAAUAUAGUUGCGCAUUAAGUACUCACAAUAAAGCCCGCAAACAUGAGCGAAAACAACCACAUAAGGAUGGCUAUGGUUAAGUCCGGAUUAGAUGAGCCACCCGAACGACCUUGCAUUGGUAUCAGAGUCUUAAGUGCCACCGUGCAGAUAUAGGUGAAGUAAGUAAAGGGUAGUAUAUGACAAAUCAUGACGGCAAUGGCAAACCAAUAUGCUGCAUAUAGGAUAGUUAGGAAUUAAAACAUUUGACCAGUUAAUAAGCUUAAAAACCAACCUUUGCGAUGCCAUUUGGUAACCAGAUUCACAACCAGCGCCACAAUAUCGAACAGUACGCACAACAUUAUAAAAUAGGCCGAUCGUAUGCUAAUGGAUGUCAGAACUAUUAUCAGAAUAACUAAGCAAACACAAUGGGAGUGCAUAAAGAGCUGUACACGAAAACCGAGGCUGAGCGGAUCCCUUUUAGUCUUCUCCAGAUAGAGAGCCGGCAAAAGACUCAUGCCCACGAUAAUUGGAAAUAAAUAUAGACCGAUUAUCAGCCACAUCUCCGUAAACCAGCUCAGUGAUCGAUCAACAGCGUCCAUGAAAACCGCCACCAAAAGCGCUAGGCCAGCAGCAAGAGCCAGAGAGACCAGCUGUAUGCCUAAUAUAAUACCAAAUCGCAACAAAACG